UGGUGGUUAGUUUAACAAAAAUAAUAGAUUUCGACUCUUUAGAUUAUGAUUUAAUUCAUAACCACCAC
rnacentral:tRNA from 1 species